UCAAUUGGAAAGAGGAGUGGCGGACGGGUGAGUAACACGUGGGUAACCUACCCAUCAGAGGGGGAUAACACUUGGAAACAGGUGCUAAUACCGCAUAACAGUUUAUGCUGCAUGGCAUAAGAGUGAAAGGCGCUUUCGGGUGUCGCUGAUGGAUGGACCCGCGGUGCAUUAGCUAGUUAGUGAGGUAAAGGCUCACCAAGGCGAUGAUAUAUAGCCCGACCCUGAGAGGGUGAUCGGCCACAUUGGGACUGAGACACGGCCCAAACUCC
rnacentral:rRNA from 1 species